AACGAACGCUGGCGGCAGGCUUAGCACAUGCAAGUCGAGCGCCCCGCAAGGGGAGCGGCAGACGGGUGAGUAACGCGUGGGAAUCUACCCAUCUCUACGGAAUAACGCAUGGAAACGUGCGCUAAUACCGUAUACGUCCUUCGGGAGAAAGAUUUAUCGGGGAUGGAUGAGCCCGCGUUGGAUUAGCUAGUUGGGGGGGUAAAGGCCUACCAAGGCGACGAUCCAUAGCUGGUCUGAGAGGAUGAUCAGCCACACUGGGACUGAGACACGGCCCAGACUCCUACGGGAGGCAGCAGUGGGGAAUAUUGGACAAUGGGCGCAAGCCCGAUCCAGCCAUGCCGCGUGAGUGAUGAAGGCCCUAGGGUUGUAAAGCUCUUUCACCGGUGAAGAUAAUGACGGUAACCGGAGAAGAAGCCCCGGCUAACUUCGUGCCAGCAGCCGCCGCAGUAA
rnacentral:rRNA from 1 species